UGUGGUUACAAACAUGGUGAGGUCAAGAGAAUGGUCCAGGAAGACAAGAGAACAGAGGAGGGGCUAGAAAGUGGUGCUUGUGAUCAUCAGAGGCUUCCGGCUGAAUGAUCCGAACCCAUGCUGAUCCAAUUGCUCCAACUGACCCAUGCUGAUCCAAACCCUUCUGAUCCAAAGCCAUGUACAUGCGAUUGGCUUUUGCUUUAUGUAUUGACCUAAAAGUUAAUUGUAACAAUCAUGUAAACGUUAUAAGAAGCGACAAGAAGCAGUGGUUGGGAUCAUUAGAGGCUCCUGGUCGAAUGAUAGAACCUGUUAUUCUGACCCUGGAGAAGAUAAUGAGCGUAUCUCUGCAAGAAAGAUCUCAGUGUGCUAGAGAGUCUUAAAGCGAGUGUACGUGUUCUCCCCUGCUGGGAUCUCGGAGCCAGAUGCCUUUCCCUUGGGUCAGCUGCCAAAGAAAGCAUGCAGUUUGAUGUCGAGGAUCCUCUUAGAACAUUGACAUUACCACAUGAUUCGAGCCCCUCUGCCUUGGACUCAUGCAUGGGGCAGAUUGAAGGGAAUUUGUUUUAAUUAGGGAAUUCCAUGCUGCUUUCCAUUACGCAGCCAAUCCUAGGAUAGUGAAGAGAUGUGUGCUUUCUAAACAUACGUCCACACCAACAUGCUGUACACUGCAGCCCUGAUUAAAGGGAGUUUCUUUCAAUUGAGUCAUUUCA